rnacentral:lncRNA from 1 species
GCAUGAGUGUAAGACACAUGGAGAAACUCUGGAUUUUGAGAAUGGAUUAAAUUGUGUAGUCAUAGACUUUAUAAAUGGCCUGUGCAAACUGCACAUACUGCAUCAUAAAUAUAAUAAACCUGUUUAUAAUGAUCCCAGCAAAAAAGUUAAGGUUGAAAGUUAGCCUUAUUGAAGUGAAAACUUGCAUGAUAUCAAUUGUAUACUCACACAUUCUAGUUAGUAUGUAAAUGGACUGUUUUCCCUAUUAAUUUCUUUGCUUUUUCUUUUCUUCCACAAGAUUUUCAAAUCAGAUAUUUAUUCUGAUGGAGCAAGUUACCAAACCUUGUUACAGUGAAUAUCUAGCAAAUCAUUCUUCAGGGACCCACAUGGAUGAGUGAGAGUAAGCACAGAGUCUCCAGGGGAUUAUCCAAAAAAAAAAAAAAAAAAAAGGCAGAAUGACGCUUACAUGUAAUAGUAAAAAUCCACACAGAGGUGGAAAAUCAAAGCUAAUUAGCAAAUAGUAUUAUUUGCCUCUCUGUGAGAAUUUAGCUUAGUCUCUGCUCUCUUUGGUAAUACUAAGCUUGAAUCUAGAAUACUAAGCAUGAAUUCUGCCUUAAGAAACAAGACACUUCGUGCUUCCAUGUGCUUAAGUAGAAGAUGGAGUUUUUUUCAAAUCUACAUUUGAAUACCAUCUUUCAAAAUGAAGAUAAUUCUUUCUUGUUAGAUGAAUUGGGUGCUGCAAGUCUUAUGACCAAUGAGGAUAUUAACUUUUCUGGCUAUCUGCAGCAAGGUGAUAAUAGACCAUUACAGAAUUGUCAAUAUUUUCUCAUUAUUGAUAAAACUCCAGAGAUGCAAGAAGCCCAGCAGCCAAUGAACUUACUUAUCUGUGGCGGAGCAUAGCUACUGCCCUCCCACCUCGGGCCCAAAGUGUGGUGGAGCACAACUACCCCCCACCCCACCCCCCCAUCUCAGGCCCCAGCUGACCACAAAUAACUGACGGCGCCCAGGGCUGACCAGGAGGAACUAGGCGAUACUGGUUACAACUGGUGAGGCCAGAAAUGGGCAUGAGGUCAGCAAAAAGGGGUGUCUUUUCCCAAACACAGCAUGAGAUCAGCAAAAAAGGUGCAUCUCCAAACCAAAUAUUGUAUGAGCAUGAGUCAAACUCCGUGCCCAUAAAUAGUGCUGCAGCCUGGAGCCCACUGAGCUCUCCUGCAUGGCAGUGGGCUGCACRGCRGUGAAUCUCCCCUUGAGCUGGGACGCCUCUCAGGGUUACUCUUCGGGAGUUAAGAGAACCUCUGGCAAGAAACCGUUGGAGUGGUAAGAAACCAAGACUCGGGCAAUAGCAAGAGAAUCUUACUGUACAUUUGUUAUGACUACACUGUAUCGCCAUCUUUAAUAAAUCUGUUUGCAAUAAACCCA